CGGAAACAGCUUUUCUACUUCAUCAGAGGUAGAGGUAUGGCAUGCGUACAUUUUACCCCCAGACCCCACUAGGUGGGAAUACACUGGGUUUGUUGUUGUUGUUGUUGUUGUUGUAAUAUCUUCCCUAAUUGCAAGCUGCUGAAAAAUAUCCCCCAACUUUUCUUUACCCCAUUUAGUCAAGGCUAUUUUUGACAUCUUCAUUUUUAAUUUCAAAUUUAUGAAAACAUCCUCAUGAGCAACAGAUUCCCAAGAAUUUUAAACUACUUCUUUGAAGCCUUCAGUAUCCACCCAAAUGUUCAAAAAUCUGAAAGGUCUAUUAGUAUGCUCUUCUAGACCUCCACAGAUUGAUAAAAGAGGGGCAUGAUCUGAUCCGAUCCUGUCCAGAUGUUCUAACUUUACCUUACCAGCAAUACCAUAAAAUUCUUGAUUAAUAAGCAAUCUAUCAAGUCUCUUGAAUAUACAUUCUGCAUCAGCUCUUUCAUUCCACCAUGUGAAGGGGCUAGCUUUAAAGUUCAUAUCUAAUAAUCCACAAAAAUUGAUAGAAAAGGAAAAAUCUUCAUAUUCUUGUGGAUAUACUAAAAGCCCUCCAAUUUUCUCUUCAGCAUCAAGAAUAACAUUAAAAUCCCCUCCCACAAGCCAAGGCAAUCUCAAGUUAUUAUGGACAACAUAUAUAUCACUCCACAAGUCCAUUCUUUGAUUAGAAUCUCAUUUUGCAUAUACAUAGGUGAUCACCAUUUCCUGACUAUCGUCCAUGAUCUUCAAUUUAAUAGUGAUCUGUUGUUCAAAAUCUGCCAGAACCUCUACUUGGAUGUUGUUUUGAACAAAAAUCCAUAUCUUCUCAUUUAUAUUACAAUUAGCAUAUUCCAUCAGUAAUUUUCUUUUAUAUUUCUGCAGUUGAUUAGCCUCCUGAAAUGGUUCCAUUAAGGCUAUAAAACUGAAUUUUUGAUGCCUGUGAAGCAUUUGAACCCUAUAAAAAGCAUGAUUAGUACUCACAGACCUUAUGUUUCAAAACAACAUUUUCAUAUUCAUUUAUCACAUGAUUUGGCUCCCUUUUUAGGAAAUACUCUCUUAACUUGAUGCACCUCUGAUUUGCCUCUAAUUCUCAACUGUGUUGUUGGUGAUAAUCUAUCUAUCCUCAUAACUUCUUUAAAAUUCUGAGAAUUGUUCUCUAUUUCUUUUUCUCUUCACUCUUCUCAUUAUAUUUGUGAGAUACUAGGUCAUGUAAUUUCUUAACAGGUGGUGAACUCCCAUUUUCCUGAAUUAGAAUUGGUAAAAUAACCAAGUCUUGCACUUCUUUUGUUGAUGUGGAUUCUAUCAUUUCUGUUUCACUUGCAGGUGGGUAUCUUUCAGUGGACUCAAAAUUAUCUGCUUCUUCCAAGGUGAUAGUCAAACUAAAUGCAUCAUCUUCCUGGGCAUCGCCACUGUAAUGUGAAGAAGAAUUUAGCUUUUCAGCACUAAUCUCAUCUGUCAUUGUUGUGCUACUGAUGGAUUUUUCUUCUUGAUUACAAUUACAAUUCUCUGCAUCACUUGUAAGAACAUUCCUAGUGGUGCUUUGAUUUGUGGCACCAUCUUCCUGAUUUGAUUUAGCUUUGUCAUUACUUUCACCCCGCA